rnacentral:rRNA from 1 species
GCAAGUCGAGCGGAAACGAAAAGUAGCUUGCUACUUUGGCGUCAAGCGGCGGACGGGUGAGUAAUGCCUAGGGAACUGCCCAGUCGAGGGGGAUAACAGUUGGAAACGACUGCUAAUACCGCAUACGCCCUACGGGGGAAAGGAGGGGACCUUCGGGCCUUUCGCGAUUGGAUGUACCUAGGUGGGAUUAGCUAGUUGGUGGGGUAAUGGCCUACCAAGGCGACGAUCCGUAGCUGGUCUGAGAGGACGAUC